GAUGAACGCUAGCGGCAGGCCUAACACAUGCAAGUCGAGGGGUAACUAGAGUGAUAGCAAUAUUACUUUGGCUAGACCGGCGCACGGGUGAGUAACACGUAUGCAACCUACCUUAUACUGGGGAAUAACUUCGAGAAACCGGCGCUAAUACCCCAUAACAUUGCGAAGAGGCAUCUCUUUGCAAUUAGAGCUCCGGCGGUAUAAGAUGGUCAUGCGUCCAAUUAGCUAGUUGGUGAGGUAACGGAUCACUAAGGCUACGAUUGUUAGGGGUGGAGGGAGGAUAAUCCCCCACACUGGUACUGAGACACGGACCGGACUCCUACGGGAGGCAGCAGUGUGGAAUAUUGCGCAAUGGACGAAAGUCUGACGCAGCCAUGCCGCGUGCAGGAUGACGGCCCUAUGGGUUGUAAGCUGCUUUUGUACGAGAAUAAACCCUUCUACGUGUAGGAGGCUGAAGGUACCGUAAGAAUAAGCACCGGCUAACUCCGUGCCAGCCGCCGCCGUAAAAC
rnacentral:rRNA from 1 species